rnacentral:rRNA from 1 species
AAGUACCGCGACAGCUAACGUAGAAGCACGGCGUCCCAAGGUAUGGCCUAUGAUUGGGGUG